rnacentral:sRNA from 1 species
GUCAGCAUGGUGACGCAUGCCUGUAACUCCAGCGGCUAGGAGGGCUGAGACAGGAGGAUCACGAGUUCAAAGUAGGCUUUAGCAAUGGUGAGGUGCUUAGCAACUCAGUGAGAUCCUGUUUCCA